CGGCGAGUGAAGCGGCAAAAGCUCAAAUUUGAAAUCUAGCACCUUCGGUGUUUGAGUUGUAAUUUGAAGAUGGUAACCUUGGGUUUGGCUCUUGUCUAUGUUCCUUGGAACAGGACGUCAUAGAGGGUGAGAAUCCCGUCUGAUGAGAUGCCCAUUCCUAUGUAAGGUGCUAUCGAAGAGUCGAGUUGUUUGGGAAUGCAGCUCUAAGUGGGUGGUAAAUUCCAUCUAAAGCUAAAUAUUGGCGAGAGACCGAUAGCGAACAAGUACAGUGAUGGAAAGAUGAAAAGAACUUUGAAAAGAGAGUGAAAAAGUACGUGAAAUUGUUGAAAGGGAAGGGCAUUAGAUCAGACUUGGUGUUUUACGAUUAUCUUCUCUUCUUGAGUUGUGCACUCGUAUUUCACUGGGCCAGCAUCGAUUCGGAUGGCAAGAUAAUGGCAGUUGAAUGUGGCUUCACUUCGGUGGAGUGUUAUAGCUUCUGCUGAUAUUGCCUGUCUGGAUCGAGGGCUGCGUCUUUUGACUAGGAUGCUGGCGUAAUGAUCUAAUGCCGCCCGUCUUGAA
rnacentral:rRNA from 1 species